rnacentral:lncRNA from 1 species
GUGAAGCUGGUCUACCUAUCUCAAAAGUGUUGCUCAUAUCUGCCUGUUCCUCCAAUUCUUCAUCACUCUCCUCAGGUGCAAGAGUGGGGACAUAAGAGGGUGGGAAAGUAGGUGGCACAAUAGUAAGCUCAUGACUCUGCUCCCCGUCUCCUAUGUGGAAGGCACUAACAUCUCCUAUGUGGAAGCUCAAGACUGCUCCUCAAUGUGCUGCAUGGCCAUCUACCCCCACAACUCAAACAAUGUAGGCUUAAAAGAAAUAGAAUGUUGGGUCAGUGCCUCUUGUUGUUGUUGUU